AACGAACGCUGGCGGCAGGUCUUAGGCAUGCAAGUCGAACGGGUGUAGCAAUACAUCAGUGGCGCACGAGUGAGUAACGCGUGGGAAUUUGCCCAUCGGUGGGGAAUAACGUUUGGAAACGAACGCUAAUACCGCAUACGUCGAGAAAUCGAGAAAGAUUUAUCGCCGAUGGAUAAGCCCGCGUCGGAUUAGCUUGUUGGUAGGGUAAUGGCCUACCAAGGCGAUGAUCCAUAGCUGGUCUGAGAGGACGACCAGCCACGCGGGGACUGAGACACGCCCGAGAUUCCUACGGGAGGCAGGAGAGAAGAAUAUUGGAGAAUGGAGGAAACUUUGAUCCAGGAGUGCGGCGUGAGGGAAGAAGGCCUGCGGGUGGUAAAGCCCUUUUAGUCGUGAGGAUGAUGACGGUAGCGACGGAAAAAGCACCGGCUAACUUCGGGCCAGCAGCCGCCGCAG
rnacentral:rRNA from 1 species